UAUACACCAAAAUGUACAUAUAAAAAACGAAAAUAAACCGAUCGAUAUAAAUCCCAUAUACGAUAAAAAUAAUAUAAUUAAUACUUUUUUUAUUAAAAAUAUAGAAAAAAAGGAUAAAAGUGUAAUUAAUAUGAACACCAUGCACAGUUCUUUACAGCAAAAGGGAUUCCCAACUGAAUACUCAAAUGUAUGUUUAGACAGAUUGGAACAGUUUAAUAACAAUAUGAACAAUGUUAACAAUAUUUACGACAACAUUCAAAAUAAAAUAAAUAAAGAAGAUAACAAUGUAAAUAAUGUUAAGAAUAAACAUAUCAGUGGUUGGGUUGAUAGAAACCAUAAAAGCAUAACAGUAAACAUGAACAAAUUUAAUAACACUUUAAGUACGUCUCGAAAAAACACAUAUACUUAUAACAACACAUUAAGUAAAAACAAUUUAUUAAAUUUAGGUAUAUAUAAUAACAGAUAUAUAUUUAAACCUGUUAAUAAUAAUUCUAUACUAGCAAAAAAUAAAACAUUAACUAAAAAUUUGAACCCAUUUAUAAGAUCACAUGACCAUAUUAACAAUAAUGUAGUACCAAACGUAAAAAAUACAUACCAACAUACAGUUAACAAAACCAAUGUAUGUGUUAGUACUAUGCCUAAUUUAACUACGUGUAGUAAUACAUACAAUGUUUUUAUAAAAUCAAAAACGGAAAAUAAAAAAGAGGAAGUUAUAGCAACAUUACCAACCAAUGUUUUAUCAACCACUGCAUUACCAACCAAAGUGUUACCAACCAAUGAGAAAUCAACUACAAAGAAACAAACUAUUAUUUAUACAGAUAAAAAUAAAGACAAAAUGUUAGAACGAGUAAACAAUGAUAAUAUAUGUGACGAUAUACAAAAUACACAUAUAAGAGUAUAUACAAAUAGAUAUCGCACAGCUUCUUAUAGAAACAGUAACAUAAAUAAUAUAAAAAAUAAUUCUAUAUUAACAGAGAAAAGGGAUGGAAAAAGUAAUACAGUAUCGAUAACGAUGCAUACGAAAAAUGAUGAUACUUUAGAGAAUUGGAAUAAGGUUGUAACGACUGAUAGUAAAGUAGAAAAAUUGAUUGAAGAUAGAAUAAAUAAUACAUUAGGAACAAUGACAGGGAUUAUAAAUAACAGAAGAAUGACAAAAACAACAAGUUUUACAUGUCUAAACCAUAUAAAAGAAAAUACUAGUAUUCCAUUGGAAGAAAAAAAAAAUAUUAUAAAAAAAGCAGUAGUAAUCGGAUGUAAUUAUAUGAGUGAUAUAAAAAAAAACAGAUUGUUUGGAGCUGUAAAUGAUGCUUAUAUAUUUAGCAAGAUGUUAAUUAAAUACUUUGGUUUUUGUCCAGAAAAUAUUUUAUUAUUAAUAGAUUCAUCCCCUGCUAAUGCAUAUAUAGAUAAAGAAGUAAAUACUACCACUAAAAGAAAUAAUUUUUCAAAAAAAAAAAAUAAUUGUUAUAAUAGUAUGGAAAAAAGUAAUAAUAAUAAUAAUAUCGAUAAUAAUAAUAAUAAUAUCGAUAAUAAUGAUGAUAUAGAAGAAUAUACAUUUAGUGAUAGUUGUAAUAGUGAUAACAACUAUAGUGGUGAUACAAACAAUAAUGAGAAAUAUAAGAAUAAAAUAGAAUUAAAAAAAAAAAAAUCGUUUUUACAUUUUUUUAAUAUAAAUAAUAUGUACGAAAAAAUGAAAAAUAAUAGUAAAAUAUAUGAGAAUACUUGUAAUUCUUGUGCAGAUAUAAAAAUCCAAAAAAUUGAUUUAACACAUAAAAAAAUUAAUUAUAAUUUAUGGCCUACAAGAAUAAAUAUAUUAAAAGCUGCAAAUUGGUUGGUGCGAGAUUCAGUACCGAAUGGAUCUUAUGUAUUUUUUUUUGCUGGUAAAAGUAUUCAAGUAGAUGAUAUGAGUGGAUGGGAAGGAGAAGGUUAUGACGAAGCAUUUCUUUGUUCUGACCCACAUAAUAAAGAAAAUGAAAAAAAUAUAUUAACAACUGUUCAAUUAAAAGAUAUAUUACUUAGUAUAAAUAUAAGUGCACAAAUGACCAUUAUAUUAGAUUGUUCUGGUUGUCAAACUAUAUUAAAUCCUGCAGGAACUGAAAAAUCUUUGUCUUAUAUUAAAGGAUGUAAGCAAAAAGGAAUAUGGCCACUAACAAAUCCAACAAAUAAAAUGCAUAAAGCUAUAUAUAAUAAAAAAAUAUUAAAUAGUCGUAGUAUGGAAAAAUAUUUUUGUAAAUGUAGAUACUCAGAAUUGAUAGAGGUAGAUUCAACAUCUGCUAUGGUUGAUCCUUUGUUACAAUCAGCUUGUUCCUUACCAGUAGCUCCCAAAGCAUAUUGUUUAUGUGCAGCUACCUGGGAACAAAUCUCAAUAGAAGGUUUAUUUCCAAUUAUGGAGUUUGCAAAAGUACACCAAGUGGAUAUAGUUAAUACUUUGUAUUAUAAUGUAACUAAAAAAAUUAUGGAACUACAAGAAAAAAAAAUAAAUAACUUAUCAAAUAUACAAAUAAAUAAUCUACCAAAUA
ensembl:lncRNA